GAUAUAUCGCCAAUGGAGGAAGUAUUGGUUGCGGGGAACAGAGAGAGACCCGUUCUCUUAAUUAAAGGUCAAUCCCUCUUCGACGACAACGCCACGUGCCAGGUGUUUGCGGAAGGCGAUAUAAGCACGGAACCCAGGAACAUACUGGAGGGGGUUUUGUGCUGUUCCUGGCAUUUUAUACAUAUGGAUAUAAAUACGGAGAGAAAAGUAUUCGAACUUUAGAGUUUAUCCAACGGGUAUUCCAAAAAAUCAGCCCUAAGGGGGGCCACAAGAGAGGGAGGAAUAAGAGGAACCUCCACACAGUAAAUCCUCAAGUCCAGAAAUUGAUGGACCUCAUAGGAAUGGAAGCUGACUUUAUUUCUGAUCACUAAUUUUCUGCUAAUUUGUAUAUUUUUAUA